rnacentral:rRNA from 1 species
UACGGGGGGGGCAAGCGUUGUUCGGAAUUACUGGGCGUAAAGGGCUCGUAGGCGGCCAACUAAGUCAGACGUGAAAUCCCUCGGCUUAACCGAGGAACUGCGUCUGAUACUGGAUGGCUUGAAUCCGGGAGAGGGAUGUGGAAUUCCAGGUGUAGCGGUGAAAUGCGUAGAUAUCUGGAGGAACACCGGUGGCGAAGGCGGCAUCCUGGACCGGCAUUGACGCUGAGGCGCGAAAGCCAGGGGAGCAAACGGG